rnacentral:rRNA from 1 species
UACGUAGGCAGCGAGCGUUGUUCGGAGUUACUGGGCGUAAAGAGUGCGUAGGCGGUUUUCUAAGUUUGGUGUGAAAUCUCCCGGCUUAACUGGGAGGGUGCGCCGAAAACUGGAAGGCUUGAGUAUGGGAGAGGUAAGCGGAAUUCCAGGUGUAGCGGUGAAAUGCGUAGAUAUCUGGAGGAACACCGGUGGCGAAGGCGGCAUCCUGGACCGGCAUUGACGCUGAGGCGCGAAAGCCAGGGGAGCCAAACGGG